UGGGGAAUUUUGGACAAUGGGCGAAAGCCUGAUCCAGCAAUGCCGCGUGUGUGAAGAAGGCCUUCGGGUUGUAAAGCACUUUUGUCCGGAAAGAAAACGCCGUGGUUAAUACCCGUGGCGGAUGACGGUACCGGAAGAAUAAGCACCGGCUAACUACGUGCCAGCAGCCGCGGUAAUACGUAGGGUGCAAGCGUUAAUCGGAAUUACUGGGCGUAAAGCGUGCGCAGGCGGUCCGCUAAGACAGAUGUGAAAUCCCCGGGCUUAACCUGGGAACUGCAUUUGUGACUGGCGGGCUAGAGUAUGGCAGAGGGGGGUAGGAUUCCACGUGUAGCAGUGAAAUGCGUAGAGAUGUGGAGGAAUACCGAUGGCGAAGGCAGCCCCCUGGGCCAAUACUGACGCUCAUGCACGAAAGCGUGGGGAGCAAACAGG
rnacentral:rRNA from 1 species